AUGGUAAAAAUAUACAUUCAAUCAAACAUUACAUCCAAAUUCCAACCUUCCAAGAAACAACAAAAAGUUUGCAAAUUACACAGAGCUACAAUAAACCUAUCACUACUAAUCUUUAGCUAUGCCAAACCUUUUGUUUCCAUGAUUCUGUGUCUGCAACUUUCAAACUUCAAUUUCCAAGCUUUGUCGUGUUUCGAGCCAUGUCACAAAUAA